rnacentral:rRNA from 1 species
AUUGAACGCUGGCGGCAGGCCUAACACAUGCAAGUCGAACGAGUGGCGGACGGGUGAGUAAUGUCUGGGAAACUGCCCGAUGGAGGGGGAUAACUACUGGAAACGGUAGCUAAUACCGCAUACCAUCGGAUGUGCCCAGAUGGGAUGAGCUAGUAGGUGGGGUAACGGCUCACCUAGGCGACGAUCCCUAGCUGGUCUGAGAGGAUGACCAGCCACCCUGGAACUGAGACACGGCCCAGCCCCCUACGGGAGGCAGCAGUGGGUAAUAUUGCACAAUGGCCGCAGGCCUGAUGCAGCCAUGCCGCGGGUAUGAAGAGGGCCUUCGGUUUGUAAAGUACUUUCAGCGAGGAGGCGUUACUCGCAGAAGAAGCACCGGCUAACUCCGUGCCAGCAGCCGCGGUAAUC